ensembl:lncRNA
UAGAUGUUAGGUGUUAAGGUUAGGGUUAAAUACAGGUGUUAGGUGUUAAAUACAGAUGUUAGGUGUUAGGGUUAAAUACAGGUGUUAGGUGUUAAAUACAGGUGUUAGGUGUUAAAUACAGAUGUUAGGUGUUAGGUGUUAAAUACAGAUGUUAGGUGUUAAAUACAGAUGUUAGGUGUUAAAUACAGGUGUUAGGUGUUAAAUACAGAUGUUAGGUGUUAGGUGUUAAAUACAGGUGUUAGGUGUUAAAUACAGAUGUUAGGUGUUAAAUACAGGUGUUAGGUGUUAAAUACAGAUGUUAGGUGUUAGGUGUUAAAUACAGGUGUUAGGUGUUAAAUACAGGUGUUAGGUGUUAAAUACAGAUGUUAGGUGUUAAAUACAGGUGUUAGGUGUUAAAUACAGGUGUUAGGUGUUAAAUACAGAUGUCAGG